rnacentral:tRNA from 1 species
GCGUCGUUAGUUUAGCGGAAAACGCCGGGUUCCUAACCCGGUUACUCCGGUUCGACUCCGGAACGACGCC